AUACAGUUUAAAACAGUUUGUCACUUUUUUAAUAUUUUAUAUGGAUAUUUUAGUACCUUUAUCACCAAAUAUGACUACCAUUUUAUUAGUUGAUAACUAGCAUUUUAGUCAAGGUGAGUGCCACCAGAAUUAUCCUUCUAUAUAUAGUAUAAAUAUCAACAGCAAAGCAAUAAUGUGGCAGAUUUAAUAAUUAUAAUUCCUUGACAUUUAGCAAUUGUGCAAACAAUUUAUUGAACAAUAUGAAUAAAUGGCAUCACAGCAUUUCUUUACUUGAAAGUAACUCAAAUAAGCCUUAGACCCAAUCCUAUUGGGCAUUACAAUAUGGUUCUUUUUCUUCAAUUCUACUCGGUUUAGGGCUAAAUCUACAGCUUAGUCUAGUAUUGGUAAUUUAUUUUGCACUACUUCAGCCUAGUUAUCUUAUGUCUACCUCUUUUUAUCAUCUUGUUUUAUUAAAAUUGAUUGUUACUAAUUUUCAGUUUUGAGUUCAUAUGUCAUGUGAAUAAACCGAUAAAUAACACAUCACACAAACCCUUGAAGGAAAAACUAACCAGUGAAGCAACAUGUUAAUCAAACCUGCUAUAUAAAUAGAAAAGGAACAUAGAGGACAAUUUGACCAGCUAAAUAGCUAAUAACCUAAUAGGAGUGGAAGCAAGGAAAAUGCAAAUAGU
rnacentral:misc_RNA from 1 species